rnacentral:lncRNA from 1 species
AGGAGGCCUUGUCCACCUGAGGCCCGGUGCCUCUCAUGGAGUUGGAGCUGUACUUCCUCAUCGCCCAGUACCUCUCACCGGGUCUGUGUUGGAGAAGGGCCCAGGUGCUGGUGCAGGAGCUGGAGCAGUACCAGUUGUUGCCGAACAGGUUGGACUGGGAGGGCAAUGAGCAUAACAGGAGCUACGAGGAACUGGUCUUGUCCAAUAAGCAUGUGGCUCCUGAUCAUCUGUUGUAAAUCUGCCAGCGCAUUGGUAAUAUGUUGGAUAAAGAAAUUCCACCCAGUAUUUGAAGAGUCACUUCUUUACUUACUGCAGGAAGGCAGUCUUUGCUACUUACAGC